GACGAACGCUGGCGGCGUGCUUAACACAUGCAAGUCGAACGGAAAGGCCCUGCUUUUGUUGGGUGCUCGAGUGGCGAACGGGUGAGUAACACGUGAGUAACCUGCCCUUGACUGUGGGAUAACUUCAGGAAAAUGGGGCUAAUACCGGAUAGGAUCUCCUGCAGCGUGGGGGGGGUUGGAAAGUGUCGGCGGUGGUGGCUGGACUCGCGGCUUAUCAGCUGGUUGGGGGGGUAGGUGCGUACAAGGGCUUUGACGGGUAGCCGGCCUGGGAGGGGAAACGGCGACAUUGGGCCUACGAUACGGACCAGAAUCCUACGGGCGGCAGCAGUGGGGAACCUUGCAGAAUGGGCGGAAGCCUGAGGUAGCAGCGCCGCGUGCGGGAUACUGUCCUACGGGUUGUAAACAGCUUUCGCAUGUGACGAAGCGUGAGUGACGGUAACGGGUCAAGAAGCAACGGCUAACUACGUG
rnacentral:rRNA from 1 species